AGGAUAUUAUUUGGCACGUUUUUUAAGGAAUAUUGCACAGCGAAAAUGAUACAACGCACUGCAAUUUCUACUCCGCACUCUGGUCAAGCUUUUGUUAUUUUAAAAACAAAGGGAGAGACAGAAAGGAUUAUCAGGGAAUUGGGUGACGGAUGCAUAAUGCUAUCAAAUGAGAGGUAUGUACGUAAGACCAUCUCUAAAGAGUGCCUUGUAUUAGUGUAAUUUCUUUUCAGCAAGUGAAGAAAAGUUGAUGGAGAAGUACAAAGGGUAGCAUCCCGUAAUUAUUCAACUUACUUGGAAAUUACGAGUGUAGUAAA